AUUUCGGAAUUACUUGGGAAUGAUAUAGCAAACUGUUCUUCUCUACCAGAAGAUAUGAAUUCUUUGCACAAUGAUAUGGGCCUCCAUAAUGGAGAGGGCAUGCUUGGUGACGAUGAUUCAAUAUAUAUGUCCUUGGGAGAAAUUCCGAUAAGCUUUCUGACGGGCUGGGAGCAGCCGACACAAGAAUUUGGGAAGCCAUUUUAAGUUGCAGCCUCUUAUUGGAUUGCCGUCUUAUGGAGUUGAAGUUCUCUUUGAUUGUUAAACUUGUAAUGAUUUCAUAAUAAGUAGCUCAUACAAUCAGAGUUAAACAUCAGAGUUAGUUCGCUUGGAGCAGUGCUCGGAUCUGUGACUUAAAACAUUAUACACGGAACUUGUAGUACGCAAUUCCAUUCUGAAGCCAAUGUAAAGUUCUCAAAAUCCUAUCUAGAAAUGGGCCAAAAGUCUGACAUGAGUGUUGGAUGAAUCGAAGUUACGUUUUACCUUAUGAUUAUACCUUGGUGACAAAGGGUGAAAGCUAAUGAAAUGAGAAAUGUGGCAAAUGCAACACUUUCACCAA